rnacentral:lncRNA from 1 species
GACUAGGGAGAUUAGGCAUGGGGACUCUGACUUGGGCACGGAUUUCCUUGGACCAAUAGGCAAUGUGUUGUGGUCACUGAGCCUCAGAGCCAGACAGGUCUUAAGUGAUCUGUCCGAGCUUUUCAUUUUAUGGAGAGAGGAAGUGCCUUCUUCUCUAAGGUCAUUCAGCUAAUCAGCUCAUCGGGGAAGCAAGAUUCAAGGUGGGAAGCAGAUGAGCAGAUGAGGGGUGCAGCCUGGCCUGGGAAAGAGGGCUGGAAUUCCAAGGAGCUUUCUAAGCAUAAAGGUGCCACCCUUCCCUGAUUUCCAAAGGCUCAGGCCACAGAUGCAGGAAACUGAAAUGAAAAAAUAUGCUUGGGACUUAGGUAAGCCAUUUCUGACAGUGCCUUCACCCUCAGCCAGCCUCCCCAGUGUGGAGCUGCAAAGGCUUCUCUCUGUUUAGUGCAGCAGUCACACUUUGUUUCCCUCCCUUCAAGCUCUGGCCUAUUGAUGUUUCCAUGUUAUUGUUCUCCACAUCCCACUGCAGAAUAGAACUCGCUUCUCUAAUCCAGGGUCUCUGCCUCAUGUUUCAGAUUGGGGGAUCUGAUGUCCUUAAAAACCCCCAUCAGGACGAGGUGUGGUGAUGCACACUUGCAAUCCCAGCACUCAGGAGGCUGAGGCAGGAAGAUCGCCAUGAGUUCAAGGCCAGCCUGAACUACAUAGUGAGACUUUGUUUCAAGAAACCAAAACAGAAAAAGGAGGAGGGAAAAGACCCCCAUCAGUCCUUAGCCCCUCUAUCCCCUUCCCUUGGCUCCAUCAUGAUUCUUUCUUUUGGUUGCUGCUGUCUGAAGACUGAACAGCUUUGUUCAUCCUUUCUUUUAACAAAUAUUUAUUGAAUGCCUACUUUCUGCCUGAUGUUGUGCUAGUCA